AUGGGGAGGCCGCCGUGCUGCGACAAGGUGGGCGUGAAGAAGGGGCCGUGGACGCCGGAGGAGGACAUCAUCCUGGUGUCCUACAUCCAGGAGAACGGCCCGGGGAACUGGCGGGCGGUGCCCAUCAACACCGGCCUCAUGCGCUGCAGCAAGAGCUGCCGCCUCCGCUGGACCAACUACCUCCGCCCCGGCAUCCGCCGCGGCAACUUCACCACGCACGAGGAAGGCAUCAUCGUCCACCUCCAGUCCCUCCUUGGCAACAGAUGGGCCGCGAUCGCGUCUUACCUGCCACAGAGAACGGACAACGACAUCAAGAACUACUGGAACACGCACCUCAAGAAGAAGCUCAAGAAGCAGCAGGCCAUGGGCGCCAUCUUCGCGCCGCCGCCGCCGCCCUCCAGCUCCGCCGAGACAGCCGCCAACCUCCCCGCUGCCGUCCAUCUCGACAACCACCACCACCGAUACCACCAUGACGCGAUCGCCGCCUCCAGCUCCACGGUCGACCACGGCUGCUACAGCAACCCGGAGAUCACCCAGCAUACGACGAUCACCAUGCGCCGCUCGCCAUUCGCCGACGUCGCCGCCGACUGCUCCUCGUCGUCCUACGCCUCCAGCAUGGACAACAUAUCCAGGCUCCUCGGCGGUUUCAUGAAGAGCUCCCCGCCCACCGCCACCGACGUCAAACCCAACAUAGCCGUGGUCACCGACCCUUUCAUGUCCUUCGACCGCAUAUCCGGCACCGGCGCCGAGCUGGCUUUCGUCCCCGGCGUUCAGCAGCUGCAGCAGCAGCCGGUGUUAAUGGGGGGCAUCAGCUAUGAUGACGAGGCCACCAGACAGCAGCAGCAGCAGCUCCAUCAUCAGCUGCCACUGUGUUCGAUCGAGAAGUGGCUUCUCGACGAGGCGGCAGAGCAGGUCGCUGACCUCAUGGAGCUCUCCGACGGUGGCUGCUCCUCCCUGCCAUUGCUGUACUAG
rnacentral:rRNA from 1 species